CCCUUUAAAAAAGUUGUGGAGGAUUUGAAUGAGAAUGUAGUUUUAAAUGAGGACAAAAAUUAUGUUUCUGCUUUACUCAACUGUCUCUGGAAAUUAUUCUGCACCAGCUCGUUUAUAUGUAGGCCUACCUUAUGUCUACUCUUGUUUUCAGUUUGAAGAGAAUUUUGUUAAACUUUUACCCACUUACCACAAUAUAGGUUUGAUUUGGAUCUCUUUUUUCAAUGCUCUGAUAAAGUGCACUUAGGAUUCUGUCUGUGAUAUUAAUUCAUUCCGUCAUCAUCAACACAUGGCAACAAUCACUAUGGAUGCUGAAGAAUGUACUGCCUGAUGAAUGAACCAACAAAGCCUUGACCCAAUGAUUGGUGGAUAAAAAAUAAUGAAAUGGUUAAAACACAUUUGAUCUCAAAGACUAUACCGCCACCAUUGUUGAUGCAGAGUCAGUGCUGUCGAUCAUAUUUUAGGUAGCCCUCAUCAGGCGGCGAUCAUUUCCAGGGUGAUGGAAACAACUUUAUUUGUAAAUACAAAGGAGAGGUGAUAAAGCACGAAUGGCCUGGAAGGUGCAAAACACCUGCUCCUGAAGGUACAAUGCGUCAUGAAUAGGAAGUUCUUCAUGUUACUAUGGUAACACACAGAUACAUGAUGCAGAUAUCGCUUCUGAGCCUCUGAGGGAGACCAUUUGGAUGAUAUUUUUGCUCUGAUUUUGUUAGCUGCAGCAGGCACUGGACAUUGGUUAAAAAGGCAUUCGUCAUGUAUUACCUUUUGCUGCUGGUCAUGGAAAGAUUCCUUGACAGUUUUCAGUUCGUGUGUCUUGCAAGCUGAAAUCUUUAGGAUGUCGGAAGUGGCCAUCUAUGUAGUCAUUGCCAUCAUUAUUGUUAUCAAUGCCAUUGGAAACAUGUUAAUCAUCUUCACUUACCAGAGAGAAUCCAUCUUAAGAGUGCCUGCAAACACUUAUAUCGUGAGUCUUGCAUGUGCGGACCUCUUUUACGUGAUCUUGGCUCCAUUGUGUCUUAUAGUCUCAACGACCAUGGACAUCAGCCAGAACACUACAUGCCUUUGGAGUCUUACCCUUCUCAUGAUAAACUUUCCUGUCUCUAUUUUCCACCUUCUUCUGAUAGCUGUCGAUCGUUACACAGCUGUGACCAAACCCCUGAGGUACUUUGUGAUCAUGUCGGAAUUAAGAGUGAAUGUCUAUCUCUUCCUAGCUUGGUUCUUUGGGUUGCUGAUUGGUCUACUGCCGCAGUUUGGAUGGCACAAUGCAAUGGAUGCCCCUUUACCAGUCUGCAGCUAUCUUUUCAUCCUGCCUCAAGAGUAUUUCAUCUUCCUCUUCACAUGCUGCUUCAUUGUUCCUCUCCUCAUCAUGGUCUUCCUCUACUUUGUCAUGUUUAGAGAGGCGAGACGGCAGACCCGUCGUGUGGCGCAGCUGGAGAUAGCCGUUCUCUUUAAGAACGGUGUGCGACGGAAACCUCGCCUGAUGAAAGACAUCAAGGCCACCAUCACAGUUGGCCUUAUCCUAGGCAGCUUCAUCCUGUGCUUUUUACCUACCUGUUUAGCCUACUUUACCUACAUAGCAAACACAAACUUGGGAAACUCUGGUGUAUUCCUUAGUCUGUCUAGUGCUUGUAAUAUAACAUUGGCCCUCAGUACAGCCGUCAAUCCGUUCAUCUAUGCAUACAAGAGUCAGAGGUUCCGACAGAGGGCCUCUGUCAUUAUCCUUCGCACGCACAAUCUCCUAAAGAUUCUAUUCGGAUGUCAUGUAUAAUGGAAGAGUAUACCAUGGAAGUAUAUUAUUUGCUAGAAUAGUCUUCCAAUGUAGCUGAUGAUUCCCAGAACUUCCACUCUUGGAGUAUUUUUGCAUAUGAGAAACUACAUGUAUAUUAAAGCCAAAGCCAAAUCAUGUAUAAAUUGAACAGAUGUGUAAAUUUGCAGAAGAUUGACAUUGAGAAGCAAGUAGUUGACCCGCAGAUACAAUCCUUUCCUAUGAGAGAUCUAUUCCCUGCAGCCAAGUAGCAAUCAACACUUCAA